UACGUAGGCAGCGAGCGUUGUUCGGAGUUACUGGGCGUAAAGGGCGCGUAGGCGGUUCGAUAAGUCCCGUGUGAAAUCCCUCGGCUCAACUGAGGAAUGGCACGGGAAACUGACGGGCUUGAGUUCGGGAGAGGGAAGCGGAAUUCCGGGUGUAGCGGUGAAAUGCGUAGAUAUCCGGAGGAACACCGGUGGCGAAGGCGGCUUCCUGGACCGACACUGACGCUGAGGCGCGAAAGCUAGGGGAGCAAACGGG
rnacentral:rRNA from 1 species